UAUUGCAUUUCCAGUAUCUUGAUGUUUUUGUUUACCUCUCUAGUUAGGCAAUAAUGAAUACAAUGGAUGACGUCAAUUCAUAGGGUCAUUAAAAUUAGUGUUGAAACUCAAAUCUAUAGACCUAGUUAGACUAUAAGUAUAUGUUCAUAAUAACGAUUUUAAUGUUUUUUUUUUGUUAUAUUUUAGGUCGUAAAAAAGAAAAACUUUCAAGGGUAUUAAAAGCGCAUCCAUUGAUGUUUAAGUUGGAAACAAGGCAGCAGAAAUUCGUUGGCAGUUUUGAAUAAAUGCCAGAUGAAACGGUGGAAUAACAUUCACGUUUUGGCAUUCGAGUAUCGCACAAAUGAUCGGUUAUCUCGCUUUUUGAUGAAGAUAAAGGAAUAAAUUAAUAUCCACAUGACGCAUUCGUGCAGAUGUUUCGUUAGUGUUAUAUGUUUAUUGGUGAUAACUACACUUAUCGUUUCAAAUAAUUUUAUGUUAGUGUUUAAUCAGAAGAGUUAAAUAAAUAUGGGUUGUGAUUACAAGA